rnacentral:lncRNA from 1 species
AAAGACAGCACUUUGAUCUCAUAGGGAUAUUGUUCAUUCUCUGCUCAGACUUUCAUUUGACCCUACAAGGCCCUUUACAUUUUUAUGUAGUGUUCUAUUUGAAUAUAUUUGUUCAGAAAAAUGGCAGAACCUAAGCCUUUGACACAUCAAAGUGCUACGGCACCAGGUCUGGACUUUAAUGGCACCCAUCGUCAACUCUUGGGCCCCAGAAUUCUAUCAGCACAUUUACUGGAACCAUCCCAUGAGCAUACCACAGAAUCCACACUUUUUGCUUGAGUCUCAUGUUACAUAGAACCCCC